rnacentral:rRNA from 1 species
GCGAAAACUUUACAAUGCUGGCAACAGCGAUAAGGGAACCUCGAGUGCCAGGUUACAAAUCUGGCUGUCGAGAUGCCUAAAAAGCAUUUCAUAGCAAGGGCCGGGCAAGACCGGUGCCAGCCGCCGCGGUAACACCGGCGGCUCGAGUGGUAACCGUUAUUAUUGGGUCUAAAGGGUCUGUAGCCGGCCGGAUAAGUCUCUUGGGAAAUCUGGCAGCUUAACUGUCAGGCUUUCAGGAGAUACUGUCUGGCUCGAGGCCGGGAGAGGUGAGAGGUACUUCAGGGGUAGGGGUGAAAUCUUGUAAUCCUUGAAGGACCACCAGUGGCGAAGGCGUCUCACCAGAAUGGACCUGACGGCAAGGGACGAAAGCUAGGGGCACGAACC